GUAGUUAAUUUGAAGGUAUCUGUGGGAAACAAUCAUGGAAAUGCUGAUGGAAAGAUGAGACAAAUGGAGAAUAUUCUUAGAGAUGUGCAAACAGGUGUUCAGGAUUUGAAGGAUAAGCAAUCAAUAGUAGAGGCUCAGAAACCAAUCUAGCUGAUGUCUUUAAGAUUAUGGAAUGCUUUCUUUCAGGCUGGUAAAUAUGCAAAGGAGAUGACACAACAGAAACCAAUCUAGCUAAAAGAGAGGUUUCUGUUCUUGAAAAUGUGUAUUGGAAGCAACUUGGAAUUAUUGCUACUGAGUGGCUCAUAAUACUUGGAUUGCAGAUCACCAAG